rnacentral:snoRNA from 1 species
AACAUCAGUAGUGGUUAAUACUAUCUUUUGAUAAUAUUAAUUUCAUUAUACCAUAGAAACCUAAAGAUUGAAUAAUUUUUGUUCUUCAUGUUAUACAACUUGGGCAAUGAAGAGCUUGCUCUUUUGCGUCCAUUUUGUUUAAUAAGUUAAUACUGGAACAAGAAUAAUUUAAAUCAUUUCAUACAACCCAUAGCUGAAUGAAUUUUGACCACUCCUAAACAAAGUAGCUACAAUUUUCAUUUCGUUUUCCGGUUUUCUUAGAUCAAAUAUUAUUUUUGAAGAAGGUUUCCCUGAUUACAAAUCAGGGAAAGGUUCGCGUUUUAGAGAAUUGCAUAAUGCAUUU